rnacentral:rRNA from 1 species
CCUACGGGAGACAGCAGUAGGGAAUCUUUCACAAUGGGCGAAAGCCUGAUGGAGCAACGCCGCGUGCAGGAUGAAGGCCUUCGGGUUGUAAACUGCUUUUAUAAGCGAGAAAUAUGAUGGUAACUUAUGAAUAAGGAUCGGCUAACUACGUGCCAGCAGCCGCGGUCAUACGUAGGAUCCGAGCAUUAUCCGGAGUGACUGGGUGUAAAGAGUUGCGUAGGUGGCAUAAUAAGUAGCUAGUGGAAGCGGGUGGCUCAACCAUUCAGACUAUUAGCUAAACUGUUAAGCUCGAGACCGUUAGGGGUAACUGGAAUUUGUAGUGUAGGAGUGAAAUCCGUAGAUAUUAGAAGGAACACCAAUAGCGUAGGCAGGUUACUGGGACGGUUCUGACACUAAGGCACGAAAGCGUAGGGAGCAAACGGGAUUAGAUACCCGAGUAGUC